GCGGGCGAGCUACCGUGCAGUCGAGCGGAACGAUCCUAGCUUGCUAGGAGGCGUCGAGCGGCGGACGGGUGAGUAAUGCAUAGGAAUCUGCCCGAUAGUGGGGGAUAACCUGGGGAAACCCAGGCUAAUACCGCAUACGUCCUACGGGAGAAAGCAGGGGAUCUUCGGACCUUGCGCUAUCGGAUGAGCCUAUGUCGGAUUAGCUAGUUGGUGAGGUAAUGGCUCACCAAGGCCGCGAUCCGUAGCUGGUCUGAGAGGAUGAUCAGCCACAUCGGGACUGAGACACGGCCCGAACUCCUACGGGAGGCAGCAGUGGGGAAUAUUGGACAAUGGGCGAAAGCCUGAUCCAGCCAUGCCGCGUGUGUGAAGAAGGCUUUCGGGUUGUAAAGCACUUUCAGUGAGGAAGAACGCCUUCGGGUUAAUACCCUGGAGGAAAGACAUCACUCACAGAAGAAGCACCGGCUAACUCCGUGCCAGCAGCCGCGGUAAUACGGAGGGUGCGAGCGUUAAUCGGAAUUACUGGGCGUAAAGCGCGCGUAGGUGGCUUGAUAAGCCGGUUGUGAAAGCCCCGGGCUCAACCUGGGAACGGCAUCCGGAACUGUCAGGCUAGAGUGCAGGAGAGGAAGGUAGAAUUCCCGGUGUAGCGGUGAAAUGCGUAGAGAUCGGGAGGAAUACCAGUGGCGAAGGCGGCCUUCUGGACUGACACUGACACUGAGGUGCGAAAGCGUGGGUAGCAAACAGGAUUAGAUACCCUGGUAGUCCACGCCGUAAACGAUGUCGACUAGCCGUUGGGGUCCUUGAGACCUUUGUGGCGCAGUUAACGCGAUAAGUCGACCGCCUGGGGAGUACGGCCGCAAGGUUAAAACUCAAAUGAAUUGACGGGGGCCCGCACAAGCGGUGGAGCAUGUGGUUUAAUUCGAUGCAACGCGAAGAACCUUACCUACCCUUGACAUCGAGAGAACUUUCCAGAGAUGGAUUGGUGCCUUCGGGAACUCUCA
rnacentral:rRNA from 1 species